UCAUAUUAUAUUGGAAAAGUGGUUGUCUGUUGAGUAAAAUUAAGUGGCUGUGUGUUUGCGAAUUGCAAAAUAAAGUGGUUGUUUGCACAGGAAAUGGAAAGGAAAAAUGUAUAGGAAAUAAAUAAUUCUCGACUUAGCAGAUAUUAAGUCCUUCCGUGUUUCUUGAUGCCCUUUUACUUAAAUUCUUAGCAUCAAAUCAACUUGAUUAUGGUACUUUCUGAAGACUCAAAUGUGCUACUUUGAUUUUUAACCGUUUUAAAUCGAUUUCUGUUCAUUUAAAUUGGCUAGGGAUCUAUUAAUUUUUGAGUGUGGUCUAUUAAUUUUUGAGUGUGGCCUUACAAUGGCCAUGAUUUACUUGAUCUUGAUUAUCUAAAUGGAUAACUGUGGAAAAGCUAGAGCUAAUACAUGCACCAAAGCUUUGUCCUCUCGGAAAAGCGCAUUUAUUAGAACAAAACCACGCGGCUUCGGCUGCUUCUUGUUGACUCAGAAUAACUAAGCUGACCGCAUGGCCUUGUGCCGGCGGCGUGUCUUUCAAGCGUCCAAUUUAUCAACUUGACGGGAGCAUAAUCGACUCCCGUGGUGGUGACGGAUAACGGAGGAUCAGGGUUCGACUCCGGAGAAGGGGCCUGAGAAAUGGCCACUACGUCUAAGGAUGGCAGCAGGCGCGCAAAUUACCCACUCUCGGCUCGAGGAGGUAGUGACGAGAAAUAACGAGAUCGUUCUCUUUGAGGCCGGUCAUCGGAAUGGGUACAAUUUAAACCCUUUAACGAGUAUCAAGCAGAGGGCAAGUCUGGUGCCAGCAGCCGCGGUAAUUCCAGCUCUGCUAAUACAUAGAAUUAUUGCUGCGGUUAAAAAGCUCGUAGUUGGAUUCGUAUCGGUACCCUGGAACCCUCCGGGUGUUUCUGGGUGUUAUCGAUUUAUCGUAAUGUUCGGUUUUGAGUCCUUAACAGGAUUCUUAACAGGCAUUGCAAGUUUACUUUGAACAAAUCAGAGUGCUUCAAACAGGCGUUUUCGCUUGAAUGAUCGUGCAUGGAAUAAUAGAAAACGAUUUCGGUUCAGUUUUAUUGGUUUUACGGACUGAGAUAAUGGUUAACAGAGACAAACGGGGGCAUUUGUAUGGCCCCGUGAGAGGUGAAAUUCUUGGACCGUGGCCAGACAAACUACAGCGAAAGCAUUUGCCAAGAAUGUCUUCAUUAAUCAAGAACGAAAGUCAGAGGUUCGAAGGCGAUCAGAUACCGCCCUAGUUCUGACCGUAAACGAUGCCAACUAGCGAUCCGCCGAUGGAAAUUAUAUUGCCUUGGUGGGGAGCUUCCCGGAAACGAAAGUCUUCCGGUUCCGGGGGAAGUAUGGUUGCAAAGCUGAAACUUAAAGGAAUUGACGGAAGGGCACCACCAGGAGUGGAGCCUGCGGCUUAAUUUGACUCAACACGGGGAAACUCACCCGGCCCGGACACUGUGAGGAUUGACAGAUUGAUAGCUUUUUCAUGAUUCAGUGGAUGGUGGUGCAUGGCCGUUCUUAGUUCGUGGAGUGAUUUGUCUGGUUUAUUCCGAUAACGAGCGAGACUCUAACCUACUAAAUAGCUGGUACAUAAUCUUAGUGUAUACAGCUUCUUAGAGGGAUUUGCGGUGUUCAGCCGAAAGAAAUUGAGCAAUAACAGGUCUGUGAUGCCCUUAGAUGUCCGGGGCUGCACGCGCGCUACACUGGCAAAAUCAACGUGCUUGUCCUACCCCGAAAGGGGCGGGUAAACCAUUGAAAAUUUGCCGUGAUUGGGAUCGGAAAUUGCAAUUAUUUUCCGUGAACGAGGAAUUCCAAGUAAGUGCGAGUCAUCAGCUCGCGUUGAUUACGUCCCUGCCCUUUGUACACACCGCCCGUCGCUGCCCGGGACUGAGCCAUUUCGAGAAAUUUGGGGACCGUUGAUUUAAUUUUUCUAAAUUACUUUGAUGGAAACCAAUUUAAUCGCAGUGGCUUGAACCGGGCAAAAGUCGUAACAAGGUAGCUGUAGGUGAACCUGCUGCUGGAUCAUUACUUUA